AUUGAACGCUGGCGGCAUGCUUUACACAUGCAAGUCGAACGGUAACAGGCCGCAAGGUGCUGACGAGUGGCGAACGGGUGAGUAAUGCAUCGGAACGUGCCCAGUCGUGGGGGAUAACGCAGCGAAAGCUGCGCUAAUACCGCAUACGAUCUAUGGAUGAAAGCGGGGGACCGUAAGGCCCCGCGCGAUUGGAGCGGCCGAUGUCAGAUUAGGUAGUUGGUGGGGUAAAGGCUCACCAAGCCAACGAUCUGUAGCUGGUCUGAGAGGACGACCAGCCACACUGGGACUGAGACACGGCCCAGACUCCUACGGGAGGCAGCAGUGGGGAAUUUUGGACAAUGGGCGCAAGCCUGAUCCAGCAAUGCCGCGUGCAGGAGGAAGGCCUUCGGGUUGUAAACUGCUUUUGUACGGAACGAAACGGUCCUGGUUAAUACCCGGGGCUAAUGACGGUACCGUAAGAAUAAGCACCGGCUAACUACGUGCCAGCAGCCGCGGUAAAAC
rnacentral:rRNA from 1 species